AGUGAACGCUGGCGGUAGGCCUAACACAUGCAAGUCGAACGGCGGCACAGUAAGAGCUUGCUCUUACGGGUGGCGAGUGGCGGACGGGUGAGGAAUACAUCGGAAUCUACUUUUUCGUGGGGGAUAACGUAGGGAAACUUACGCUAAUACCGCAUACGACCUACGGGUGAAAGCAGGGGAUCUUCGGACCUUGCGCGAUUGAAUGAGCCGAUGUCGGAUUAGCUAGUUGGCGGGGUAAAGGCCCACCAAGGCGACGAUCCGUAGCUGGUCUGAGAGGAUGAUCCGCCACACUGGAACUGAGACACGGUCCAGACUCCUACGGGAGGCAGCAGUGGGGAAUAUUGGACAAUGGGCGCAAGCCUGAUCCAGCCAUACCGCGUGGGUGAAGAAGGCCUUCGGGUUGUAAAGCCCUUUUGUUGGGAAAGAAAAGCAGCAGGUUAAUACCCCGCUGUUCUGACGGUACCCAAAGAAUAAGCACCGGCUAACUUCGUG
rnacentral:rRNA from 1 species